UACGUAGGGUGCGAGCGUUGUCCGGAAUCAUUGGGCGUAAAGGGUGUGUAGGUGGUCAUGUUAGUCUUCUGUCAAAUUCUUCGGCUUAACCGGGGGCAUGCGGAGGAAACGGCAUGACUAGAGGAUGCGAGAGGUGAAUGGAACUCAUGGAGUAGGGGGUGAAAUCCGUUGAUAUCAUGGGGGAACACCAAAAGCGAAGGCAAUUCACUGGCGCACUCCUGACACUGAGACACGAAAGCGUAGGUAGCGAAUGGG
rnacentral:rRNA from 1 species